AUGGUUGUCGUCAGCUCGUGUCGUGAGAUGUUCGGGUUAAGUCCCGCAACGAGCCGCAACCCCUACGUUUAGUUGCUAACGCGUGAAGGCGAGCACUCUAGACGAACUGCCGUUGACAAAACGGAGGAAGGUGGGGAUGACGUCAAAUCAUCAUGCCCCUUAUGUUCUGGGCUACACACGUGCUACAAUGGCCGGUACAGACGGAGGCGAAGCCGCGAGGCGGAGCAAAUCCGAAAAAGCCGGUCUCAGUUCGGAUUGCAGGCUGCAAUUCGCCUGCAUGAAGUCGGAAUCGCUAGUAAUCGCAGGUCAGCAUACUCGCGGUCGAAUACGUUCCCGGGCCUU
rnacentral:rRNA from 1 species